UUAAGCGACUAAGCGUACACGGUGGAUGCCCUGGCAGUCAGAGGCGAUGAAGGACGUGCUAAUCUGCGAUAAGCGUCGGUAAGGUGAUAUGAACCGUUAUAACCGGCGAUUUCCGAAUGGGGAAACCCAGUGUGUUUCGACACACUAUCAUUAACUGAAUCCAUAGGUUAAUGAGGCGAACCGGGGAACUGAAACAUCUAAGUACCCCGAGGAAAAGAAAUCAACCGAGAUUCCCCCCAGUAGCGGCGAGCGAACGGGGGAGCAGCCCAGAGCCUGAAUCAGUGUGUGUGUUAGUGGAAGCGUCUGGAAAGGCGCGCGAUACAGGGUGACAGCCCCGUACACAAAAAUGCACAUGCUGUGAGCUCGAUGAGUAGGGCGGGACACGUGGUAUCCUGUCUGAAUAUGGGGGGACCAUCCUCCAAGGCUAAAUACUCCUGACUGACCGAUAGUGAACCAGUACCGUGAGGGAAAGGCGAAAAGAACCCCGGCGAGGGGAGUGAAAAAGAACCUGAAACCGUGUACGUACAAGCAGUGGGAGCACGCUUAGGCGUGUGACUGCGUACCUUUUGUAUAAUGGGUCAGCGACUUAUAUUCUGUAGCAAGGUUAACCGAAUAGGGGAGCCGAAGGGAAACCGAGUCUUAACUGGGCGUUAAGUUGCAGGGUAUAGACCCGAAACCCGGUGAUCUAGCCAUGGGCAGGUUGAAGGUUGGGUAACACUAACUGGAGGACCGAACCGACUAAUGUUGAAAAAAUUAGCGGAUGACUUGUGGCUGGGGGGUGAAAGGCCAAUCAAACCGGGAGAUAGCUGGUUCUCCCCGAAAGCUAUUUAGGUAGCGCCUCGUGAAUUCAUCUCCGGGGGUAGAGCACUGUUUCGGCAAGGGGGUCAUCCCGACUUACCAACCCGAUGCAAACUGCGAAUACCGGAGAAUGUUAUCACGGGAGACACACGGCGGGUGCUAACGUCCGUCGUGAAGAGGGAAACAACCCAGACCGCCAGCUAAGGUCCCAAAGUCAUGGUUAAGUGGGAAACGAUGUGGGAAGGCCCAGACAGCCAGGAUGUUGGCUUAGAAGCAGCCAUCAUUUAAAGAAAGCGUAAUAGCUCACUGGUCGAGUCGGCCUGCGCGGAAGAUGUAACGGGGCUAAACCAUGCACCGAAGCUGCGGCAGCGACACUAUGUGUUGUUGGGUAGGGGAGCGUUCUGUAAGCCUGUGAAGGUGUGCUGUGAGGCAUGCUGGAGGUAUCAGAAGUGCGAAUGCUGACAUAAGUAACGAUAAAGCGGGUGAAAAGCCCGCUCGCCGGAAGACCAAGGGUUCCUGUCCAACGUUAAUCGGGGCAGGGUGAGUCGACCCCUAAGGCGAGGCCGAAAGGCGUAGUCGAUGGGAAACAGGUUAAUAUUCCUGUACUUGGUGUUACUGCGAAGGGGGGACGGAGAAGGCUAUGUUGGCCGGGCGACGGUUGUCCCGGUUUAAGCGUGUAGGCUGGUUUUCCAGGCAAAUCCGGAAAAUCAAGGCUGAGGCGUGAUGACGAGGCACUACGGUGCUGAAGCAACAAAUGCCCUGCUUCCGGGGAAAAGCCUCUAAGCAUCAGGUAACAUCAAAUCGUACCCCCAAACCGACACAGGUGGUCAGGUAGAGAAUACCAAGGCGCUUGAGAGAACUCGGGUGAAGGAACUAGGCAAAAUGGUGCCGUAACUUCGGGAGAAGGCACGCUGAUAUGUAGGUGAGGUCCCUCGCGGAUGGAGCUGAAAUCAGUCGAAGAUACCAGCUGGCUGCAACUGUUUAUUAAAAAACACAGCACUGUGCAAACACGAAAGUGGACGUAUACGGUGUGACGCCUGCCCGGUGCCGGAAGGUUAAUUGAUGGGGUUAGCCGCAAGGCGAAGCUCUUGAUCGAAGCCCCGGUAAACGGCGGCCGUAACUAUAACGGUCCUAAGGUAGCGAAAUUCCUUGUCGGGUAAGUUCCGACCUGCACGAAUGGCGUAAUGAUGGCCAGGCUGUCUCCACCCGAGACUCAGUGAAAUUGAACUCGCUGUGAAGAUGCAGUGUACCCGCGGCAAGACGGAAAGACCCCGUGAACCUUUACUAUAGCUUGACACUGAACAUUGAGCCUUGAUGUGUAGGAUAGGUGGGAGGCUUAGAAGUGUGGACGCCAGUCUGCAUGGAGCCGACCUUGAAAUACCACCCUUUAAUGUUUGAUGUUCUAACGUUGACCCGUAAUCCGGGUUGCGGACAGUGUCUGGUGGGUAGUUUGACUGGGGCGGUCUCCUCCUAAAGAGUAACGGAGGAGCACGAAGGUUGGCUAAUCCUGGUCGGACAUCAGGAGGUUAGUGCAAUGGCAUAAGCCAGCUUGACUGCGAGCGUGACGGCGCGAGCAGGUGCGAAAGCAGGUCAUAGUGAUCCGGUGGUUCUGAAUGGAAGGGCCAUCGCUCAACGGAUAAAAGGUACUCCGGGGAUAACAGGCUGAUACCGCCCAAGAGUUCAUAUCGACGGCGGUGUUUGGCACCUCGAUGUCGGCUCAUCACAUCCUCGGGGCUGAAGUAGGUCCCAAGGGUAUGGCUGUUCGCCAUUUAAAGUGGUACGCGAGCUGGGUUUAGAACGUCGUGAGACAGUUCGGUCCCCUAUCUGCCGUGGGCGCUGGAGAACUGAGGGGGGGCUGCUCCUAGUACGAGAGGACCGGAGUGGACGCAUCACUGGUGUUCGGGUUGUCAUGCCAAUGGCACUGCCCGGUAGCUAAAUGCGGAAGAGAUAAGUGCUGAAAGCAUCUAAGCACGAAACUUGCCCCGAGAUGAGUUCUCCCUGACCCUUUAAGGGUCCUGAAGGAACGUUGAAGACGACGACGUUGAUAGGCCGGGUGUGUAAGCGCAGCGAUGCGUUGAGCUAACCGGUACUAAUGAACCGUGAGGCUUAACCU
rnacentral:rRNA from 1 species